rnacentral:pre_miRNA from 1 species
CAGGUACUCCCUCCGUUCGGAAUUACUUGUCGCAGAAAUGGAUGUAUCUAGACGUAUUUUAGUUCUAGAUACAUCCAUUUCCGAGACAAGUAAUUCCGAACGGAGGGAGUAGUAG